AUUGAACGCUGGCGGCAGGCCUAACACAUGCAAGUCGAACGGUAACAGGAUACAGCUUGCUGUUUUGCUGACGAGUGGCGGACGGGUGAGUAAUGUCUGGGAAACUGCCUGAUGGAGGGGGAUAACUACUGGAAACGGUAGCUAAUACCGCAUAACGUCGCAAGACCAAAGAGGGGGACCCUCGGGCCUCUUGCCAUCGGAUGUGCCCAGAUGGGAUUAGCUUGUUGGUGGGGUAACGGCUCACCAAGGCGACGAUCCCUAGCUGGUCUGAGAGGAUGACCAGCCACACUGGAACUGAGACACGGUCCAGACUCCUACGGGAGGCAGCAGUGGGGAAUAUUGCACAAUGGGCGCAAGCCUGAUGCAGCCAUGCCGCGUGUAUGAAGAAGGCCUUCGGGUUGUAAAGUACUUUCAGCGGGGAGGAAGGGAGUAAAGUUAAUACCUUUGCUCAUUGACGUUACCCGCAGAAGAAGCACCGGCUAACUCCGUG
rnacentral:rRNA from 1 species